rnacentral:rRNA from 1 species
AGUGAACGCUGGCGGCAGGCCUAACACAUGCAAGUCGAACGGCAGCACAAGAGAGCUUGCUCUCUGGGUGGCGAGUGGCGGACGGGUGAGGAAUGCAUCGGAAUCUGCCCAUUUGUGGGGGAUAACCUCGGGAAACCGGGACUAAUACCGCAUACGACCUACGGGUGAAAGCAGGGGAUCUUCGGACCUUGCGCAGAUGGAUGAGCCGAUACCGGAUUAGCUAGUUGGAGGGGUAGAGGCCCACCGAGGCGACGAUCCGUAGCUGGUCUGAGAGGAUGAUCAGCCACACUGGGACUGAGACACGGCCCAGACUCCUACGGGAGGCAGCAGUGGGGAAUAUUGGACAAUGGGCGCAAGCCUGAUCCAGCCAUGCCGCGUGUGUGAAGAAGGCCUUCGGGUUGUAAAGCACUUUUGUUGGGAAAGAAAAGCAGCCGGUUAAUACCCGGUUGUCAUGACGGUACCCAAAGAAUAAGCACCGGCUAACUUCGUG